GUGUCAGCAGCCGCGGUAACACGUAGGGGACGAGCGUUGUCCGGAUUCAUUGGGCGUAAAGCGCGCGUAGGCGGCUCGGAAAGUCGGGCGUGAAAUGCCGGGGCUCAACCCCGGGACUGCGUCCGAUACUUCCGAGCUGGAGGUAGGUAGGGGAGAUCGGAAUUCCUGGUGUAGCGGUGAAAUGCGCAGAUAUCAGGAGGAACACCGGUGGCGAAGGCGGAUCUCUGGGCCUUACCUGACGCUGAGGCGCGAAAGCUAGGGGAGCGAACAGGAUUAGAUACCCUGGUAGUCC
rnacentral:rRNA from 1 species